rnacentral:lncRNA from 1 species
UUUCCUGUGUCUUCGUAACAGAAGUUAAGAAAGACUGGCAUGGUUUUGCUUUUGGGUUUUUCUCUCUCUAGCAGGUGAGGCAAGUGGUAGUGAGAUUUCACAGUUAUUUCUAGUUUAUGGGCACCAGUUCAGCGUUUUCUCUCUCUAGCCCUCGAGUUUCAGGGCUUUCUCUCUCUACAACUGAUGUUAUUGCAGGGGGUUUCCAGCCCGCGUGAAUUCAUUGACGACUCCCCCAUCGUUUACUACCUUACUUUUCUUCGGAGGUGUCUGGCAACGAGUCUUAAAGGUUAGAGCGUGUGAAGUAUGCUCCCGCUGGAGCAUAUUAUACAUUGACUGCCUCCCUUCUCUAAAUCAGGUUAACCUCUCAACUCUAUUUCCUCCCCUUCUGUUUUUUUUUAUAGGUACAUUUGUGUUGAUCUCUCUCUUAUAAGGAAAAAGUUUACAUAAGGAUGCAACCUUAUAUAAUGUAGAACUACAGAUGCAUUUCAAAAAUUUAUUGGAAAAUAUAGUUUUAAUGUUGAAAAACCCUUUUGAUUGAUCAUCUAGAUGUAUGACCAUGAAAAAUAAAAAGAUUUUAAGUCUCAGACAUAAUACAUUUUACAAUAUAUUAUCUACACCGUCCAUUUUCAAGAUUUUCAUAUGUUUAUAGUUCUACUUGAUUUUAAAAAAAUUUAAAAUUUAAAAUUUUAUAAUUAGAUAUAAAAAUAGAUUUUGAAACAAUCCUAAAAACAUUUUACAUCAAAAUUAUAUGCCAUAAUAAAAUUUAAAAGUGCACGUUAUCUCUACCGCUACGGAUGCAUUCCCUCUUAUAAUUCUCCAUUCACAGUUUGGCCAAAAUUGAGUGAAACUCAAGUAGCCAACCUCUUGACUCCCAUGGAAGUUUGGAAUUAAAUGGCAGCACAUGUGAUAUGUAUGAUGCAAGAAACUCUCAUUAUUUGGGGGGAUCAGGACAAGGUCUGCCCAGUAGAUUUGGCAUAUAGGUUGAAAAUGUUUGCCCCUCCUCUCUCUCUCUCUCAGUUUUAAGAGAGAAUUUGAAGCUAAGAAGUUGGUGGUUGAACAUUUACAGGCAAUUGGGGGAAAAAUCAACCCUGGCAGUUCUAGAGAAUGUGGGGCAUGCCCCUCAGAUGGAGAAUCCCAAUGAUGUCACUGAUUUGAUAAAACUAUUCAUUGAAUAUUUUUCAUCUAGAUAGAAGCAAUGCUAGAGUUAUUCAUUGAUCAGAAGAAAUUAAUUGUUGAGUUAAAACCACCCCUUUAAGUUUAGGAAUACUGAAAAUUUGAUUAUAUUAUUAGCUUUUAUGCUACCUUAAUUGGGCCAAGAUAGAUGAAAUUAUGUAAUUAUCUAGUUGCUAAAUUACCUCCCCAAGUCAAAGAAGGGAAACUGUUAAAAUAUCUUUUACCUUGCAGCAA